AUUAGUAAGAAGUCCAUUUAUUUUUAAUUUAGGCACAACAGUGCUAUCAUAUGCUGAUCAAUAUAAAUAUCUUGGCUUGACAUUGGAUGAACACAUGAAGCUAUGAGUGUUUUGACUCAGUCAGCUGGUCGAGCUCUGGGAUCUGUACUGAACAAAGUUAAACACUGUGGUAAUCUGGGAUUUCAGACUUAUACAAAACUCUAUCAUUCAUGUGUGUGUCCAGUGUCUGAUUAUGCUUCUGGUGUCUGGGGGUUCCUGGAACAUCUAAUUUGCAAUUCUGUACAUCAGAGAGCUCUGAGGUCCUUCUUGGGAGUCCAUAAAUCAACGCCAGUCCUCGCUGUGAGUGGAGAUAUGGGAUGGGAGCCUCCAAACAUCAGACAUAAAUGUGUCGGAUCAGAGACUCAAAAAAUAUAUUUUUAUUUGGGAUACCUGUCAUUGUCACCCAUGGGCAAAGGAGAUAAAAUCUGCAUUCCAUAUGAAUAAUAUGUCCUUUAUUUUUCUGAAUAAGUUAAUUUGUGACAUUCAGGAGAUAAAGAAUAAUAUGUUUGUUAUGUACAAAGAGAAAUGGUCUGUA